GCUGAGCCACCCGGGCUGCCCGAGUAUAUAUGUUUUGAAAUGAGAAAGACAGCAUGGAAGAACCAGAAUGGAAUGUUGGGUGUAACUGGGGUCAUUGUGAUGUUCUUGAAUGAACUCUAAUAUAGUUGGGAGGGAACACAUGAAUGGAGAAGAUGAAAGAAAGAUAGAUAUGAAGAUGGGGUAUUUGAAAGCAGAUUUUAUGUCCUUCAAAAAAUUUUUUUAGCUGCUACACCUAUCAGGAAGAUAGAAAACUGAAAUCUAGAGAGCACCAUGUAGGAAAGGCCAUUCCCAACCUGGUUUUCAAUUUGGCUCAUCUUGCUUCUCUGAGAAUCUGCUUGUGGGUCUAUUUCCUUUUCCACAUCCCUUCACAUGUCUCCACAUUGUCACUCUGUUCAUCAAAGCCCGCCCUCAGGAAAGGAGCUGCCGUAUGAGAUUAGCAUUUAAAUCAGUAGAUUUUGAGUAAAGCACAAUGCCCUCCAUAAUGCGAGUGGACCAUAUCCAGUCAAUGAAGGUCUUAUUGAAAAAAACAAAACUGACCUUUCCCAAAGAAGAACUUCUACCUGCAGACUGACCUCAGACUGUAGCAUCAGUUCUUCCUGCGGCAUCCAACCCAUCAGCCUAUCCUGCAGAUUCUGGGAUGCUGUAGUACCGUUCAUUUCAAUGGCAGCCCUGGGAUAAUAUCGUCUUAAGCCAUUGAGAGUGAUAAAGAACCUGCAGAGCAGCAGGGGGAAAAAAAGCAAGCAAGCAAGAGCCUGUAUGGAUUUAAUAUGUUUUUGCUCCUUCAAAAA